ncrna:Ornithorhynchus anatinus (platypus) microRNA oan-mir-1421b precursor
UGGCGUUUCGAGGUCACAUGUGGUGCAGCAUGAUUCAGGAACAUGCCGCGCAGCAUGUGACCUUCCUACACCGU